GCCCAGAUGGCGGAAUUGGUAGACGCACCAGGUUCAGGUCCUGGCGGUGGCAACACUGUGGAGGUUCGAGUCCUCUUCUGGGCA
rfam:Lautropia sp. SCN 69-89 ABS56_C0015, whole genome shotgun sequence.